CGGCGUGGAUAAGGCAUGCAAGUCGAACGACUACCAGAGGGUAGCAAUAUUCUCUGGUGGGAGUGGCGCAAGGGUGCGUAACACGUGGGUAAUUUGCCGCGAAGUUGGGGAUAACUCGCUGAAAGGCGAGCUAAUACCGGAUGUGAUCAUUAGGUGGCAUCAUUGGAUGAUCAAAGUUGGGGACCGCAAGGCCUGACGCUUCGCGAUAAGCCCGCGGCCUAUCAGCUAGUUGGUGAGGUAACGGCUCACCAAGGCUAAGACGGGUAGCUGGUCUGAGAGGACGACCAGCCACACUGGAACUGAGAGACGGUCCAGACACCUACGGGUGGCAGCAGUCGAGAAUUUUUCACAAUGGGCGCAAGCCUGAUGGAGCGACGCCGCGUGGGGGAUGAAGGGCUUCGGCUCGUAAACCCCUGUCAUUUGCGAACAAACCUCAUUCAUGAACAGUGAAUGUGUUGAUAGUAGCGAAAGAGGAAGGGACGGCUAACUCUGUGCCAGCAGCCGCGGUAAUACAGAGGUCCCGAGCGUUGUCCGGAUUCACUGGGCGUAAAGGGUGCGUAGGUGGUGGGGUAAGUCUGAUGUGAAAUCUCCAGGCUCAACCUGGAAAUGGCAUUGGAAACUACCCUGCUGGAGGGUUGGAGGGGGGACUGGAAUACUUGGUGUAGCA
rnacentral:rRNA from 1 species